UUAGAUUUUUUUGUUCCUCAGUUUUGGCUCUCUUUUACCUUCGUAUUCUCUUUCAUCCACUCUCUUUUCCUUACCUCAUUCCCUCUCAUUAAACUGCACAUCAUUGAAAUCAUGAACAAGGAUAUUUUGGCAGCUGGAGAAUUUUUUCUUUAGAUUAAUUUACAAUUCUUCAACUUUGAGGAAUAGUAUAGUACCUUUUGAGUUUUGAAGAUUUGUUAAAUAUGGUUGGGAACCCUCCAUUGCAUGUGUCAACAUUGCCUAGUUACUUAUCUUCACCUAUGAUUACUCUUCCGAGAAAUUCAUUAAAUAGUAUGCUCUACCUUCAUUAUGGACCUCAAAGAAAAAUAAACAGGAUAAGGGCUAGUUCUGCAGAUGCAGGGAAUGUUGAGCCCUCACCUUCUCCCGGAUCGAAGAAUCCUCUUGUGGUUGUUUUGGACAUUCCUCGUGCCAUUUGGAGGCGAACUAUGCGUCCGUUAAGUGAUUUCGGGUUUGGUGGUAGGAGCAUUUGGGAAGGUGGUGUUGGACUGUUUUUGGUUUCAGGUGCAUUUCUUUUUGCACUUAGUUUGGCAUGGUUGAAGGGUUUCCAAAUACGAUCCAAGUUUAGGAAGUACACAGCAACAAUUGAGUUUUCUCAGGCUUGUGGUAUAUGUACUGGAACACCAGUGAGGAUCAGAGGGGUGACUGUUGGUGAUGUUAUUCGUGUGAAUCCUUCCUUAAGAAGUAUUGAAGCAGUUGUCGAGAUUGAAGAUGAUAAAACAAUCAUACCAAGGAAUUCAUCGGUUGAAGUUAACCAGUCAGGUCUUCUUAUGGAGACUGUAAUCGACAUUACUCCGCGAGAUCCUAUUCCAACACCUUCAGCUGGACCUCUUGAUCAGGAAUGUCAUAAAGAAGGUCUCAUUGUGUGUGAUAGAGAAAAGAUUAAGGGUUACCAAGGGGUAAGUUUGGAUGCAUUAGUUGGGAUAUUUACUCGUCUUGGGCGAGAUGUAGAGAAAAUUGGUGUUGCCAACAGCUACUCAUUGGCUGAACGAGCUGCUUCUGUUGUUGAAGAAGCAAAACCACUUCUUACAAAGUGAUGUCUCAGAUCAAAGCCAUGGCUGAAGAUCUUCAACCUUUGUUGGCUGAAGUCCGUGAUAGUGGCCUGUUGAAGGAAGUUGAGAAUUUAACCCGAAGCCUUACACAAGCAUCUGAAGAUUUGAGAAGUGUACAUUCAUCAAUUAUGACCCCCGAGAACACUGAACUGAUCCAAAAGUCCAUAUACACUCUCAUAUUCACCCUGAAGAACAUUGAGAAUGUUAGUUCUGAUAUUUUGGGUUUCACCGGUGAUGAAGCAACAAGAAAGAAUUUGAAGCUACUGAUCAAGUCUCUCAGCAGGUUAUUGUGAAGUCAAAUUUCAAUCAAAGUAUAGGAAAUAAUGGAAAUAGUUUAUUUCCAAUGUUUUUCAUCAACCACAUCAUUGAAGGGAAAGGAGUAAUUUGUGACUGUUAUACUUGUUUCUAAGGUCUGGUAUUUGUAUGGUUCUUGUAUUUUGCCAUGAUAAAAUUUGUUUUCAUGCGUUUCAAUGAAGUGUAGAUAGACGGUGAUUGCUCUGAGCGUAUCCUUAUUUUACUGUUUAACUUGUGCGAUUUAUUUGUUUAGCAUGUAGGUAACUUUUAAUGGUUGUCACUUGUUACUCAGCUAAAAUGAGCACAAAAGAGAGCGAAGGUACAUGCUUAUGUUAUUCCUCGGAUUUGGAUCUUAUACAAUGAUGACUGCAUGCAGUUGUGCAGUCAGUACAUCCAAGACUGUCUUAUCAAGAACAAAUGAUCUAGAAAUGAAACAGAUUUUUUGAUUUU